CUACGGGGGGCACCAGUGGGGAAUAUUGCACAAUGGAGGAAACUCUGAUGCAGCAACGCCGCGUGGAGGAUGACACUUUUCGGAGCGUAAACUCCUUUUAUAUAGGAAGAAGAUGACGGUACUAUAUGAAUAAGCGCCGGCUAACUCCGUGCCAGCAGCCGCGGUAAUACGGAGGGCGCAAUCGUUACUCGGAAUCACUGGGCGUAAAGAGCGUGUAGGCGGAUUAAAAAGUCAGAAGUGAAAUCCUAUAGCUUAACUAUAGAACUGCUUCUGAAACUCUUAAUCUAGAUUAUGGGAGAGGUAGAUGGAAUUUCUGGUGUAGGGGUAAAAUCCGUAGAGAUCAGAAGGAAUACCGAUUGCGAAGGCGAUCUACUAGAACAUUAUUGACGCUGAGACGCGAAAGCGUGGGGAGCAAACAGGAUUAGAUACCCGCGUAGUC
rnacentral:rRNA from 1 species